rnacentral:lncRNA from 1 species
AUAAAGGCUGUCAUGGUAACAAGCGUUCUAUUAUAAAGGCUGUCAUGGUAACAAGCGUUCUAUUAUAAAGGCUGUCAUGGUAACAAGCGUUCUAUUAUAAAGGCUGUCAUGGUAACAAGCGUUCUAUUAUAAAGGCUGUCGUGGUAACAAGCGUUCUAUUAUAAAGGCUGUCGUGGUAACAAGCGUUCUAUUAUAAAGGCUGUCAUGGUAACAAGCGUUCUAUUAUAAAGGCUGUCAUGGUAACAAGCGUUCUAUUAUAAAGGCUGUCAUGGUAACAAGCGUUCUAUUAUAAAGGCUGUCGUGGUAACAAGCGUUCUAUUAUAAAGGCUGUCGUGGUAACAAGCGUUCUAUUAUAAAGGCUGUCGUGGUAACAAGCGUUCUAUUAUAAAGGCUGUCGUGGUAACAAGCGUUCUAUUAUAAAGGCUGUCG